AGCACCGUCGGCUGCAGCCCCGAUUGCAUCGACAGUUCCGUCUCGGCGGACAUUUCAACCUUAAAAAAAAAAAAAUUGUUUUUUGUUUUUCUGUUGUUUUAAAUUUUAUUGGCCUCGGUUAAGGUGGUGGGGAGAGAGAAGGGGGAGGAGAAAUCGAAAUCGUGACCUUGACGGGUGAAAUUUUGGGUCAAAACCGGUUUUUGAUUUUGGCAACAGAAGUGUACCUUGAAGGGAAAAGUCAGUUGGGUUAAAGGAGGCCAUGCACCUACUAGACCGGAUUUGUCUUUUGUUAUGUCCAAGUGACGUCACGGCAGCCCUUAAAGGAGACCAUACACCUCGAGCUCUGUGGCUUGACUAUAGUAAUAAAUGAUAAAGGAGAUCAUGCACCUAAUUCGGAUUAGUUAGUGCACGACGCACUUUUUAUGGCACGCCUUAAGUUAAGUAAACAAAUGCGAUUUAUGCAUGCACCAUUAUCGCUGAUAAGCCGAUUACAAUAGACAUUGUUUCCACGUAUUGUUAAGUGGUUUAAAAAUUAUUAAAAAUAUUCAAUAAUU